rnacentral:rRNA from 1 species
UACGUAGGGUGCAAGCGUUAAUCGGAAUUACUGGGCGUAAAGCGUGCGCAGGCGGUUCUGUAAGACAGAUGUGAAAUCCCCGGGCUCAACCUGGGAAUUGCAUUUGUGACUGCAGGACUAGAGUUCAUCAGAGGGGGGUGGAAUUCCAAGUGUAGCAGUGAAAUGCGUAGAUAUUUGGAAGAACACCAAUGGCGAAGGCAGCCCCCUGGGAUGCGACUGACGCUCAUGCACGAAAGCGUGGGGAGCAA